CUGGUGGUGGAGAGACACUUUGCCUCCACAGUUUCCCCUUCGAAUGAUGUACUGAGAUGAACCACAGUGAACAGACAGACAUCUUAAGGCUGCGCUGUGCACUUGGAGAAGAAGAAACAGCUGCAGACAGAGACCAGGAACCAGUUCAACAUCACAUCUGGCAAUAACGGGCCAAGACGAACCCUCCGCUGCAUUGGCUAUGUAGCAGGGCAAAUGUCUACUGGGGACCCGGGGCGAUGCUCCCCCCCCCCCCGUCUGGGCUCAUCUGCUCACCUUUCUACAAUCAGACCUCUAACCUCAAACACUUCAAUACCACGGCUUUCUCACGACUCGUCUCCAGGAUCCCUGAGGCAGACCGGCACUGACCCCCCCUGCAGGAGGGCGGUAGACGUGCAGAGUGCAGAACUCCAUCCCGCGCUACAGAUGUGUCAAACAAGGACUGCAUGGGAAGACAUCAGAAACAUUUCACGAGCAUAUGAGGACUUCCAGUGAAGGGAACAUGGAUCCAUUGUUCACUGACAUGGCUGCUGUCCUGUUGUUUUCCUCACUACUGUCCCUGGAUCUGUCUCACCCGCGCACGUGAGGAUAAACAACCAACCUCCCCCCCCGUUCCCAUUCAGGAGGUAGACCAAAUAGCUCUCUUACCACUUACCACAACAGCUGAGUCCAUCGUCCACCUGGGAGCUCAGCCGGACCGCCUCGGAGCCCGAGCAGCGACUGGAGACGUUCAUUUGGAACCAGCUCAUUGAUGUUAAUUCAUGUGUUGCCAAAAGAGUCAUGUGUGUGUAUAUAUAUAUAUUAAAAACACGUUUGUAUGCAAG
ensembl:lncRNA